rnacentral:rRNA from 1 species
UACGAAGGGGGCUAGCGUUGCUCGGAAUUACUGGGCGUAAAGGGCGCGCAGGCGGUCCUUCAAGUCAGAUGUGAAAGCCCCGGGCUCAACCUGGGAACUGCAUUUGAGACUGGAGGACUUGAGGACGGGAGAGGAGAGUGGAAUUCCCAGUGUAGAGGUGAAAUUCGUAGAUAUUGGGAAGAACACCGAUGGCGAAGGCAGCUCUCUGGACCGUUACUGACGCUGAGGCGCGAAAGCGUGGGGAGCAAACAGG